rnacentral:rRNA from 1 species
UAAAUAAUUUUUAUUAAUAUAUAGUUUUCUCGAACUUAGAAGGGCGAUUUAUUUAUUUAUUUUGUUGUGGCAUAAACAUUUAUAAUUGAUAGAUAGAGCCGAAAUGUUAUUCGUUUCUAAAUAUAUCUAGUUUUUUUAGAAAUAAGUUUAAUUUAUUUGUAUUAAUUCAAUUUUCUAAAUUUUUAGUUUAUUGGAUGGUUCAGGCAAUAUCUUACGGGAUGAGCUGUAAGAUAUAUUUUUAUAAGUUUUUGAUUUUUUUAUUAUAAAUAGGAUUAGAAGUUUCCAUUUUUACAAGGAUGUAAAAAUUUUUAAUUUGAUUUUUUUUUAUUUUUAUUAAUUUUAAAUUUUUUAUAAAAAUUUAGUUUUUAAUAUUUUUUAGCUAGUAACAAUGAUGAAAUUAGUAUAAAUUUUUGUAUUUUGUUUUUUUCUUGCGAGGUUAAAAAAAGGAACUCGGCAAAGGAAUCUCCACCUGUUUAUUAAAAACAUGUCUUUUUGAUUAUUAUUUAAGGUCUGGCCUGCCCCCUGAGGAAUUAAAUGGCCGCGGUAAUUU